UGGGGAAUAUUGCACAAUGGGCGCAAGCCUGAUGCAGCCAUGCCGCGUGUAUGAAGAAGGCCUUCGGGUUGUAAAGUACUUUCAGCGGGGAGGAAGGCGAUAAGGUUAAUAACCUUGUCGAUUGACGUUACCCGCAGAAGAAGCACCGGCUAACUCCGUGCCAGCAGCCGCGGUAAUACGGAGGGUGCAAGCGUUAAUCGGAAUUACUGGGCGUAAAGCGCACGCAGGCGGUCUGUCAAGUCGGAUGUGAAAUCCCCGGGCUCAACCUGGGAACUGCAUUCGAAACUGGCAGGCUAGAGUCUUGUAGAGGGGGGUAGAAUUCCAGGUGUGGCGGUGAAAUGCGUAGAGAUCUGGAGGAAUACCGGUGGCGAAGGCGGCUCUCUGGUCUGUAACUGACGCUGAGGCUCGAAAGCGUGGGGAGCAAACAGG
rnacentral:rRNA from 1 species